CGUGUAGGCGGCUUGGUAAGUCGGGUGUGAAAGCCCGGAGCUCAACUCCGGAACUGCACUCGAAACUGCCUCGCUCGAGUCCCGGAGAGGGUGGUGGAAUUCCCGGUGUAGAGGUGAAAUUCGUAGAUAUCGGGAGGAACACCAGUGGCGAAGGCGGCCACCUGGACGGUGACUGACGCUGAGACGCGAAAGCGUGGGGAGCAAACAGGAUUAGAUACCCUGGUAGUCCACGCCGUAAACUUUGGGUGCUAGGCGUCGCGGGUAUUGACCCCCGCGGUGCCGCAGCUAACGCGUUAAGCACCCCGCCUGGGGAGUACGGUCGCAAGACUAAA
rnacentral:rRNA from 1 species